rfam:Trichophyton rubrum CBS 118892 genomic scaffold supercont2.1, whole genome shotgun sequence.
GCCCGUAUAGCUCAGUGGUAGAGCGCAUCACUCGUAAUCAUGAUACAUCACUCGUACUCAUGAUAUGAUGAGGUCCUCGGUUCGAAUCCGAGUGUGGGCA